GGCGUGCUAAUCUCUAAGUUGGUUUCGGCGUGCGCUCAGGCUGGUCGGCCGUCAAGGUCUGCACCGUUCGGGUCACGCCCCCCUGUAGGACACUCACCGCUGUCCUUAACUGGGUGGCGGUCAAAGGGGGUGUAUGUGGGGGCAACUCUGCAUGCGCUUCUGGGGUUCCUACUCUUUUACUUUGAGCAAAUUAAAGUGGUCAAAGCAGGCAAUCGAGCCUUGAAUACUUCAGCAUGGGAUAAUGGAACAGGACUGGGGUCCUGAUUUCGUUGGUUUCUGGGAUCUCACUAAUGAUUAAUAGGGAUAGUUGGGGGCAUUAGUAUUUAAUUGUCAGAGGUGAAAUUCUUGGAUUUAUGAAAGACUAACUUCUGCGAAAGCAUUUGCCAAAGAUGUUUUCAUUAAUCAAGAUCGAAAGUUAGGGGAUCGAAAACGAUCAGAUACCGUCGUAGUCUUAACCAUAAACGAUGCCGACCAGCGAUUGGGAGACGUUACAUGGAUGACUCCCCCAGCAGCUUGCGAGAAAUCACAAGUCUUUGGGUUCCGGGGGGAGUAUGGUCGCAAGGCUGAAACUUAAAGGAAUUGACGGAAGGGCACCACCACGAGUGGAGCCUGCGGCUUAAUUGACUCAACACGGGAAAACUUUAAAAGGUCCAGACAUAGUAAGGAUUGACAGAU
rnacentral:rRNA from 1 species